rnacentral:rRNA from 1 species
GUGGGGAAUUUUGGACAAUGGGCGCAAGCCUGAUCCAGCCAUGCCGCGUGCAGGAUGAAGGCCUUCGGGUUGUAAACUGCUUUUGUACGGAACGAAAAGACUUCUUCUAAUACAGGAGGUCCAUGACGGUACCGUAAGAAUAAGCACCGGCUAACUACGUGCCAGCAGCCGCGGUAAUACGUAGGGUGCAAGCGUUAAUCGGAAUUACUGGGCGUAAAGCGUGCGCAGGCGGUUAUAUAAGACAGAUGUGAAAUCCCAGGGCUCAAACUGGGAACUGCCUUUGUGACUGCAUAGCUGGAGUGCGGCAGAGGGGGAUGGAAUUCCGCGUGUAGCAGUGAAAUGCGUAGAUAUGCGGAGGAACACCGAUGGCGAAGGCAGUCCCCUGGGCCUGUACUGACGCUCAUGCACGAAAGCGUGGGGAGCAAACAGGAUUAGAAACCCCGGUAGUCC